UGUAACAGCAUCUCCAUAUGGAA
rnacentral:miRNA from 1 species